rnacentral:rRNA from 1 species
CCUACGGGAGGCAGCAGUGGGGGAUAUUGCACAAUGGGGGAAACCCUGAUGCAGCGACGCCGCGUGGGUGAAGAAGCGCCUCGGCGCGUAAAGCCCUGUCAGCAGGGAAGAAAAUGACGGAACCUGAAGAAGAAGCCCCGGCUAACUACGUGCCAGCAGCCGCGGGAAUACGUAGGGGGCAAGCGUUAUCCGGAUUUACUGGGUGUAAAGGGGGCGUAGACGGCGAUGCAAGCCAGGAGUGAAAGCCCGGGGCCCAACCCCGGGACUGCUCUUGAAACUGCGUGGCUAGAGUGCGUGAGGGGCAGGCGGAAUUCCUGGUGUAGCGGUGAAAUGCGUAGAUAUCAGGAGGAACACCGGUGGCGAAGGCGGCCUGCUGGACUGCAACUGACGUUGAGGCACGAAAGCGUGGGGAGCAAACAGGAUUAGAUACCCUGGUAGUC